AAAAGCUCGAGAUUUAAAAGCGCCUUAAUAGAGUACUUCCAGAAUGUUAUGCGUGUAGUUUGUACUCCUGUAAAUACCCAGAAGAGGCUGGUGAGAAAUACUUCAUAUUGUGAACAGUGAUGUUACAUAGUACCAACCUUAACUUGGACUGCCUUAACAAAAUACCAUAGACUGUGACCUAAACAACAAAUUCAUUUCCUAACACUUCUGGAGACUGGGAAAUCCAAGAGCAAGGGCAAGGUGCUAUUUUCAGAGUCCAGGUAGAAUCUAACACAGUAAAACAAUGCCAAGGGAAAAGGAAGGAAAACAAAAAACUAAAGGAACACCCCUGCCCAUCGUUCCAAUUCUUCGGAAGUUCCUGAAAACGUAUGAAAAGCACUGUGCCCAGACGCAGACAGCUGUGUGUCCAGCCAUCAGACAGGACUUGAAAACCAGCAUCAACAACGAACAGAUUCUUAGGAAAUUUAUGCUUGUAAGACCUGAAGACUCCCCAAUAAGCGUCCUACCCAUUUCCUUAGAACCUUUGCUCAUGACAAUUCGAGAUGAGUGUUAUAUGCUGGGGAAAGAGAUCUGUAUCUGGAGCCUUCAACUGAGCAACCCAGAGAUUGCCAGACUGGCUUCACUUCUGGAGUUGAAGGGGAGUGCCGCCUGCCCCUUUACCAGCCUGGAGCUCACUGACUGCAGGAUGGAUCUGUGGUCUCUCCGGAGACUCGGGAGGGCUCUGCCACGCAGCCAUCUGCGUUCUCUCAUCCUCGAUUACAGCAGACUUGGAAAGGAAGAAGUUGAGAGUCUUUUCUCAGGCCUGGAGAACAACCAGAGGCUUCAAGCCCUCAGUCUGCGCUACUGUGGUCUGGGGCCACAGAGCGGACCCUGGCUGGGUGCCAUCAUAUGCCAGACCGCCAUCAGUGAGCUGCACCUCGACGGCAAUUUCUUACAAUGUUCCGGAGCUCUGGCUCUCCUCAGACCCAUCGCGGACUAUGCAGAGAUGCAGGGGAGAGAGCAGCUGGCCAUGGCCCCACCAGACCCUCAUCAGCUGAAGGCCAAACAGAGGGGCAGUUCGGCUUUGAACCAGAUUACAGAGUCGCCUGGAACUCUAACACAGAAAACUACUUCAGGGAAGGAGAGGAGGAAAAAAGGAAUCAAGAAAAAAAUUAAAGAUUUGACUGAAGCUGGUCCUUGGUUAGUGAAGUUGUAUCUGGCAGAUAACGGCAUAGACAGGAGAGGAAAAGAAGGAGAAAAUGGCUUGUUGGAAUUCACUCAAAUUUUAACAUGCCUGAUCACAUACUCUGCUCACUUAAGCGAAAUUGACCUCAGAAACAAUGUCCUGGGAGAGAUGGCUGCUGCUGACAUACUUGAAGCACUAAGAGCCAGAAAGACAGGUAAACUCCCAGUCUUAAAAAUUACAGUCACUCCUCAAAUGUCUUCUGAUACCUUCAGAUCUAUUUGGAAAAAUAGCAGGAAAUCUAGGAUUACCAGUAAAAAGAAGAAGAAGGUAACAGUAUCCCAAACCAUCAGUCCAUUCUAAUGGAUGAUUGUAUCAAAGGACAAGUCGUAGGAAAAAACAUAGUUCCCUCAAAGGGUAAAAACUGAAUAUGGAUGUUCUAUAUCUUUACGGAUGCUCUCUGUUUCCAUGGCCAACUGGACAUGUGUAGAAAGAUCUUGCUUGUUCUAUAAGAAGAGUUUUCACUGGAGGUACACCUGGGUGGC